GAUGAACGCUGGCGGCGUGCUUAACACAUGCAAGUCGAACGGGAAAUAUUUCAUUGAGACUUCGGUGGAUUUGAUCUAUUUCUAGUGGCGGACGGGUGAGUAACGCGUGGGUAACCUGCCUUAUACAGGGGGAUAACAGUCAGAAAUGGCUGCUAAUACCGCAUAAGCGCACAGAGCUGCAUGGCUCAGUGUGAAAAACUCCGGUGGUAUAAGAUGGACCCGCGUUGGAUUAGCUAGUUGGUGGGGUAACGGCCCACCAAGGCGACGAUCCAUAGCCGGCCUGAGAGGGUGAACGGCCACAUUGGGACUGAGACACGGCCCAGACUCCUACGGGAGGCAGCAGUGGGGAAUAUUGCACAAUGGGGGAAACCCUGAUGCAGCGACGCCGCGUGAAGGAAGAAGUAUCUCGGUAUGUAAACUUCUAUCAGCAGGGAAGAUAGUGACGGUACCUGACUAAGAAGCCCCGGCUAACUACGUGCCAGCAGCCGCGGUAAUACGUAGGGGGCAAGCGUUAUCCGGAUUUACUGGGUGUAAAGGGAGCGUAGACGGUGUGGCAAGUCUGAUGUGAAAGGCAUGGGCUCAACCUGUGGACUGCAUUGGAAACUGUCAUACUUGAGUGCCGGAGGGGUAAGCGGAAUUCCUAGUGUAGCGGUGAAAUGCGUAGAUAUUAGGAGGAACACCAGUGGCGAAGGCGGCU
rnacentral:rRNA from 1 species